GCCAGGGAGGUGUAGUGGUUUGCAUGUUGGACUACAACUCUGAAGACCAGAGUUCAAUUUCCCUCUCAGCCAUGGAA